GUGUGUAGUAGUGGUAGUAGUAGUAGUGGUAGUGGUGAUUGUUGUAGUAGUGGUAGCAUUAGUGGUAGUAGUGGUAGUAGUUGUACAUUUACAUUUACAUAUACGUCAUUUAGCAGACGCUCUUAUCCAGAGCGACUUACAAAUUGGUGCAUUCACCUUAUGAUAUCCAGUGGAACAACCACUUUACAAUAGUACAUCUAUAUCUUUUUUUGGGGGGGGGUUAGAAGGUUUACUUAAUCCUAUCCCAGGUAUUCCUUAAAGAGGUGGGGUUUCAGGUGUCUCCGGAAGGUGGUGAUUGGCUCCGCUGUCCUGGCGUCGUGAGGGAGCUUGUUCCACCAUUGGGGUGCCAGAGCAGCAAACAGUUUUGACUGGGCUGAGCGGGAACUGUAGUAGUAAUAGUAGUAGUGGUAGUAGUUGUAGUAGUAGUGGUAGUAGUAGUAGUGGGGGUGGUAGUGGUUGUGGUAGUAGUAGUAGUAGUAGUAGUAGUAGUAGUGCUAGUAGUAGCAGUGGUGGUAGUAGUAGUAGUGGUGGUAGUAGUAGUAGUAGUGGUGGUGGUAGUAGUAGUAGUAGUAGUAGUGGUGGUGGUAGUAGUAGUAAUGGUAGUAGUGGUAGUAGUAGUGGUAUUGGUAGUAGUAGUAGUAGUGGUAGUAGUAGUAGUGGUAGUAGUAGUAGUGGUGGUAGUAGUAGUGGUGGUAGUAGUGUUAGUAGUAGUGGUAGUAGUAGUGGUAGUGGUAGUGGUAGUAGUAGUAGUAGUAGUAUUAGUAGUAGUGGUAGUAGUGGUAGUAGUGGUAUUAGUAUUAGUGGUAGUAGUAGUAGUAGUAGUAGUGGUAGUAGUAGUAGUAGAAGUAGUAGUAGUAGUAGUAGUAGUGUUAGUAGAAGUAGUGGUGGUAGUAGUGUUAGUUGUAGUGGUAGUAGUAAUAGUAGUGGUGGUAGUAGUGGUAGUAGUAGUGGUAGUGGUAGUGGUAGUAGUAGUAGUAGUAGUAGUAGUGGUGGUAGUAGUAGUAGUUGUAUUAGUGUAAUAGUGGUAGUAGUAGUAGUAGUAGUUGUUGUAUUAGUGGUAAUAGAGGUUGUAUUGGUAGUAGUAGUGGUAGUAGUAAUAGUGGUGGUGGUAGUAGUAGUAUUAGUAGUGGUAGAAGUAGUAGUAGUAGUAGUAGUUGUAUUAGUGGUAAUAGUGGUAGUAGUUGUAUUAGUGGCAAUACUGGUAGUAGUAGUAGUAGCAGUAGUGUUAGUAGUUGUAGUUGUAUUAGUGGUAAUAGUAGUAGUAGUAGUAGUAGUGUUAGUAGUUGUAGUUGUAUUAGUGGUAAUAGUGGUAGAAGUAGUCGCAGUAGUAGUAGUAGUGUUAGUACUAGUAGUUGUAUUAGUGGAAAUAGUGGUAGUAGUAGUAGUUGAUUUAGUGGUAAUAGUGGUAGUAGUAGUGGCAGUGGUAAUAGUGGUAGUAGUAGUAGUAGUUAAAGUAUUAGUUGUCGUGGUAGUAGUAGUAGUAGCAGCAAUAGUAGGUGUGUAGUAGUGGUAGUAGUAGUAGUGGUAGUGGUGAUAGUAGUAGUAGUGGUAGCGGUAGUGGUAGUAGUGGUAGUAGUUGUAGUAGUAGCAAUAGUAGUAGUGGUAGUAGUUGUAGUAGUACUGGUAGUAGUAGUGGUGGUGGUAGUAGUGGUUGUGGUAGUAGUAGUAGUAGUAGUAGUAGUGGUAGUAGUAGUAGUAGUAGUAGUAGUAGUGGUAGUAGGAAUAAUCGUGGUGGUAGAAGUAAUGGUGGUGGUAGUGGUAGUAGUAGUAAUGGUAGUAGUGGUAGUAGUCGAAGUAGUAGUAGUGGUAGUAGUAGUAGUAGUGGUGGUAGUAUUAGUAAUAGUAGUGGUAGUAGUAAUAGUGGUGGUGGUAAUAGUAGUAGUAGUGGUAGUAGUGGUAGUAGUAGUGGUGGUAGUAGUAGUAGUAGUAGUGGUGGUGGUGGUAGUAGUAGUAGUAGUGGUGGUUUUAGUAGUAGUGGUAGUAGUAGUAGUAUUAGUAUUAGUAGUGGUAGUGGUAGUUGUAGUAGUAGUGGUAGUGGUAGUGGUAGUGUUCGUAGUACUAGUAGUAGUGGUGGUGGUAGUAGUGGUGGUAGUAGUAGUAGUGGUAGUAGUAGUAGUAGUAGUAGUAUAAGUAGUGGUAGUAGCGGUACUAGCAGUAGUAGUAUUAGUAGUGGUAGUAGUAAUAGUGGUGGUGGUAGUAGUAGUAGUUGUGGUAGUAGUAGUAGUAUUAGUAGUUGUAGUAGUAGUAGUGGUGGUGGUGGUGGUAGUAGUAGUAGUGGUGGUAGUAGUAGUAGUGGUAGUAGUAGUAGUAUUAGUGUUAGUAGUGGUAGUUGUAGUAGUAGUGGUAGUAGUAGUGGUAGUGGUAGUGUCCUUAGUAGUAGUAGUGGUGGUGGUAGUAGUAGUAGUAGUGGUGGUAGUAGUAGUGGUAGUAGUAGUAGUAGUAGUAUAAGUAGUGGUAGUAGCGGUAGUAGCAGUAGUAGUAGUAUUAGUAGUGGUAGUAGUAAUAGUGGUGGUAGUAGUAGUAGUUGUCGUGGUAGUAGUGGUAGUAGUAGUAGUAUUAGUGUUAGUAGUGGUAGUGGUAGUUGUAGUAGUAGUUGUAUUGGUAGUAGUAGUGGUAGUAGUAAUAGUGGUGGUGGUAGUAGUAGUAUUAGUAGUGGUAGAAGUAGUAGUAGUAGUAGUAGUUGUAUUAGUGGUAAUAUUGGUAGUAGUUGUAUUAUUGGCAAUACUGGUAGUAGUAGUAGUAGCAGUAGUGUUAGUAGUUGUAGUUGUAUUAGUGGUAAUAGUGGUAGUAGUAGUAGUAGUGUUAGUAGUUGUAGUUGUAUUAGUGGUAAUAGUGGUAGAAGUAGUCGCAGUAGUAGUAGUAGUGUUAGUACUAGUAGUUGUAUUAGUGGAAAUAGUGGUAGUAGUAGUAGUUGAUUUAGUGGUAAUAGUGGUAGUAGUAGUGGCAGUGGUAAUAGUGGUAGUAGUAGUAGUAGUUAAAGUAUUAGUUGUCGUGGUAGUAGUAGUAGUAGCAGCAAUAGUAGGUGUGUAGUAGUGGUAGUAGUAGUAGUGGUAGUGGUGAUAGUAGUAGUAGUGGUAGCGGUAGUGGUAGUAGUGGUAGUAGUUGUAGUAGUAGCAAUAGUAGUAGUGGUAGUAGUAGUAGUAGUGGUGGUUUUAGUAGUAGUGGUAGUAGUAGUAGUAUUAGUGUUAGUAGUGGUAGUGGUAGUUGUAGUAGUAGUGGUAGUGGUAGUGGUAGUGUUCGUAGUACUAGUAGUAGUGGUGGUGGUAGUAGUGGUGGUAGUAGUAGUAGUGGUAGUAGUAGUAGUAGUAGUAGUAGUAGUAGUAGUAUAAGUAGUGGUAGUAGUGGUAGUAGCAGUAGUAGUAUUAGUAGUGGUAGUAGUAAUAGUGGUGGUGGUAGUAGUAGUAGUUGUGGUAGUAGUAGUAGUAUUAGUAGUUGUAGUAGUAGUAGUGGUGGUGGUGGUGGUAGUAGUAGUAGUGGUGGUAGUAGUAGUAGUGGUAGUAGUAGUAGUAUUAGUGUUAGUAGUGGUAGUGGUAGUUGUAGUAGUAGUGGUAGUAGUAGUGGUAGUGGUAGUGUCCUUAGUAGUAGUAGUGGUGGUGGUAGUAGUAGUAGUAGUGGUGGUAGUAGUAGUGGUAGUAGUAGUAGUAGUAGUAUAAGUAGUGGUAGUAGCGGUAGUAGCAGUAGUAGUAGUAUUAGUAGUGGUAGUAGUAAUAGUGGUGGUAGUAGUAAUAGUUGUCGUGGUAGUAGUGGUAGUAGUAGUAGUAUUAGUGUUAGUAGUGGUAGUGGUAGUUGUAGUAGUAGUGGUAGUAGUAGUGUCCUUAGUAGUAGUAGUGGUGGUGGUAGUAGUAGUAGUGGUGGUAGUAGUAGUGGUAGUAGUAGUAGUAGUAGUAUAAGUAGUGGUAGUAGCGGUAGUAGCAGUAGUAGUAGUAAUAGUGGUGGUGGUAGUAGUAGUAGUUGUGGUAGUAGUGGUGGUAGUAGUAGUAGUAAUGGUAGUAGUGGUAGUAGUAGUAGUAGUAGUAGUAGUAGUAGUAGUAGUAGUAGUAGUAGUGGUAGUAGUAGUAGUAGUUGUAUUAGUGGUAAUAGUGGAAGUAGUUGUAUUAGUGGCAAUACUGGUGGUAGUAGUAGUAGUAGCAGUAUUAUUAUUAUUAGUAGUGUUAGUAGUUGUUGUUGUAUUAGUGGUAAUAGUGAUAGUAGUAGCAGUAGUAGUAGCGGUAGUAGGUGUAGUGUUGGUACUAGUAGUUGUAUUAGUUGAAAUAGUGGUAGUAGUAGUAGUUGAUUUAGUGGUAAUAGUGGUAGUGGUAAUAGUGGUAGUAGUAGUAGUGGUGAUAGUAGUAGUAGUGAUGGUAGUAGUAGUAGUGGUAGUAGUAGUAGUAGUAGUAGUAGUAUAAGUAGUGGUAGUAGCGGUAGUAUCACUAGUAGUAGUAUUAGUAGUGGUAGUAGUAAUAGUGGUGGUGGUAGUAGUAGUAGUUGUGGUAGUAGUAGUGGUGGUAGUAGUAGUAGUAAUGGUAGUAGUGGUAGUAGUAGUAGUAGUAGUAGUAGUUUUUAGUAGUGGUAGUAGUAGUAGUAGUUGUAUUAGUGGUAAUAGUGGUAGUAGUUGUAUUAGUGGCAAUACUGGUAGUAGUAGUAGUUGUAUUAGUGGUAAUAGUGGUAGUAGUUGUAUUAGUGGCAAUACUGGUGGUAGUAGUAGUAGUAGCAGUAUUAUUAGUAGUAGUAGUGUUAGUAGUUGUUGUUGUAUUAGUGGUAAUAGUGAUAGUAGUAGCAGUAGUAGUAGCGGUAGUAGGUGUAGUGUUAGUACUAGUAGUUGUAUUAUUGGUAAUAGUGGUAGUAGUAGUAGUGGUAGUAGUAGUUAAAGUAGUAGUUGUAGUGGUAGUAGUUGUAGUAGUAGUAGUAGUAGCAGCAGUAGUAGGUGUGUAGUAGUGGUAGUAGUAGUGGUAGUAGUAGUAGUGGUGAUAGUAGUAGUAGUGGUAGCGGUACUGGUAGUAGUGGUAGUAGUAGUAGUAAUAGUAGUAGUGGUAGUAGUUGUAGUAGUACUGGUAGUAGUAGUAAUAGUGGUGGUGGUAGUAGUAGUAGUAGGAGUAGUAGUUGUAGUGGUAGUAUUAGUAGUUGUAGUGGUUGUAGUAAUAGUGGUGGUGGUAGUAGUAGUAGUCGUGGUAGUAGUAGUAGUAGUGGUAGUAGUGGUAGUAGUAGUGGUGGUAGCAGUAGUAGUAGUAGUUGUAGUAGUGGUGGUGGUGGUUGUAGUAGUUGUGGUGGUAGUAGUAGUAGUGGUAGUAGUAGUAGUAGUAUUAGUGUUAGUAGUAGUAGUUGUAGUAGUAGUGUUGUGGUGGUAGUAGUAGUGGUAGUGGUAGUGUUAGUAGUAGGUGUAGUAGUAGUGGUGGUGGUAGUAGUAGUAGUAGCAGUGGUGGUAGUAGUAGUAGUG
rnacentral:lncRNA from 1 species